GCAGGUUUGGAGCAAUGACAAAUAUGAAAGUGUGGAGCACAGGGUGGUGGUGAAUACUGAGAAAGAAAGGUUUUCUUUUCCAUUCUUCUUCUUUCCAGCUCACCAUAUGAUGGUGAAACCAUUGGAGGAGCUUGUGAAUGAGCAAAACCCACCAAAAUACAGAGAAUACAACUUCGGAAAGUUCUUUGCUUCUAGAAACCGCAGUGAUUUCCAGAAGCAAAAAGUGGAAAACAUCCAAAUUGACCAU
rnacentral:misc_RNA from 1 species